CUAUCCAAAGGUCAAGAACACUACACUAUUAGCUAACUUGGCACAAUAUAAUUAAUUUGUGACAUAUUAUAUACUUUGUUCAUUUUUUUAAAAAAAUGAACUUAAAAUAUAUGAAACAAUCAGGUUUCGAACUUAAGAGUUAAGACUUCAGAUAUCAAUCACCAAGCUCUUUGCUACUUGCGCGAAGGACAGCCCAUCAUAUUAUUACAUAU
rnacentral:lncRNA from 1 species